GACAAACAGCAGCGCUCGGGAUCACGGACACGGUUUGGCCACCUUCCACCUGAUGGAGCAAUGUAGCAGAGUGGUGUGUUGACUUAGCCUUGUGUCACCACCCUGCCUGAACCAGAUUGCAUCUGCAGUCUUCUGGAACUGACUACAUGCCUAAACUCAUAAAAGAUGCUGUGGAAACGUGGAUCUCUGGGGCCUUGGCAAGAUGCUUUUGCCAUAGCCUGUCUCUAUUGCCUGGUCCUCAGGAAGAAAAAGAAGUGAAAAUCAGCCAUGUGUCAUUAUCCUGCAAACAGUUUGAAAACCGCUUUGACAGCCAAUAGAAGAAAAUAGCGUAAUGUAGCCACAGCAAACAUGUCGUCUUUCUAACAGUUUGCAAUCGCAGUAUGAUCCCAGUGAGGAGUGGUGCUCGAAGCUCCCUCUGAUUACCUGUGUUCUUUUCUCUUACUGUAACAACAUUGGUUUUUUCCAACACACAAGUGUUCAUGCAAAAAUGCCAAGAUUCUCCAUGAAGAUUAAUCAAGCAGGUUUACAAAUUACAGAAAGACUGAUAUGGAACAAAAAGAAAAAUUAAAUAUUGCAGGAAUAUUGCACUCCCUUGUAAUCAAAGUCAUGUCUUUGGCUGGUGUUAUGUAGGAUACACAAGCCUUGGUGAGGCUUACGAGUACUUUUCUAGUGCAAAGUUAGCCCUAGCAAAUCACCCUAUUCUAAAAAUGGUGGCCAGUAAGCAAUAGGCGAGCAUGCUCUUGGGGGAGAAAACAGGAAGAAAACUUGGUGAAAGCUUGGUCUUCUACGGUCCUGCUUUUCACAAUUGAGUGAUUGAUAAACAAAAGGGAAAAAAAAAAAAAGUUGAGCUAAAUCACCACAAGGAUGGAUGCGUCCUGUUGUGAAACCAGUGACCUGCUCCUUCUCAUUACAUCUGAUACAACUGCUCUAUGACAAAGAUUAAUUUCUAAAAAUGAACUAUAAAUCUAUAGGCCAGCAGUGAGACAGUGACUUGAGAAAUUUUUCGUUGUAAAGAGCCUGGUAGUUUGAUGCCUUUAAUCUGCAUCACUGCAGACAGUGUAUUGUUGAAUCCAAUGAGGUUUGAAUCCCAUGAUGAAUUUAAUUGUUUUCCACAAGUAGGUUAUGAACAGAAACCUUUGAUUUCUAUUAAUGAUGUAUCUUCAAGUGAAAAGCUAUUUUGUUUCUAUAUAUGUAUUUAAUAAAAGGAAAUGUAUCAAACAUUUAUUUUUAUUAAACUAAUAAGACAGAUAAAGCUGUCAAAGCAUAUUUUCAUUUAAUUUCUUUGGUCUUAUUUCCCUUAGUAUACAUGAAAGAUCAUUAAGUGCAGUCUCAUGUAUCUCAGGACGCACAGUUCAUUGCAUCAGGUAGUUGAUCUUAUUCCUAAAUAAGAGCUUUGAGGCUGCAAUAGUCUUUGUAACUGCAUCCACAUGGCAUCAUAACUGGAUUAAGACUUCAAGGUGCCACAUUCGGAGCAUGGCUUACCUGUUGCAUUUAGGGUAGCACCUAAUACAAGAUCUUUCCAAGCUCCGAAAAAUAUAGUCCCGGUGUUGAGGAGCUCAUGCCUAAUGAAAGACAAGCAGGAAAAGGUUAGGGAUCAUGGAACAGGACAAGAAGAGAGAAAUGAAAUGGAGCUUAUUUAGUAGUCUGCAGAAGUGGGAUCUGUAGAAGGAAGCUGGAUCUGAAGUGUGAUAGGGUUUGGCAGGUGACUUCCUGGAGUCUGCAUCCUGCAUAAACAUGGCACGUGGGAAAUAGGCUAAAGGAGUGGGAUGAGGGUAACUGGCCAAUGACUGCAGCCUGUGGGCAGUGCUUUAGCAAAGGCAAAGAGAGCAUGGAAAUCUGGAGGGUCCUGAAAGCUGCCUUGUGGCAAAACUACAUGUAGAGACUUGAACAUGAGUGCCACCAGCUAGAAUAGCUGUGGCUGCAGCUGGAGGGGCAGUGAGGGAAAGAGCAACGUAACAAACUUGGUGGACAAGGAAGAUGAACUCUGUGACUGCUUAGGUUUUAGCUGGAAUUGUUGGUGGAUAUCUGGGAAGGCUGAAGUAGGCUGUCCUAGGUGUCAGGGCAUCAUGGAGGGAGCAUGAAGUCUGAAGCAGAGUGGAGCUUUGAUGGAGAUUGUAGCAGUAGUGUCUGGAUUUGGGUAGAGUUUUGGGUAUGACCUGGCUUCCAAGACAGGGGAGAAAGGAAAGCCAGAAUAUAAAACUACACUCUAUGCUAGCCAUCAUUAAGGACUCAGAUGUGGACCUCUGGAAAUAUUGAUGUAGAGAAGGUUUCUUACUGCUCGUGAAGAGGUUAUUGUCAAAUAAAUAGUGUAAAAGGCUUGCUUUCUAGAAAAAGAUUUGGACUUUGAGAGUUGCAAAAGUCCGUCUUUAAGAACAAACUGUUUCGUCUUCCAUGGCUGGUGGACUUUCCUGGUGUGCUGGUUGACCCACACACCGCACAAAGUCACUAUUGAUUUUCCGACUUCCUCAGCCACUCUGGGCCUUUCAGCUGCUUCAGGGAGUAUUCACCUCUCUCAGGGCUUCAGCCUCCCACAGGCUCCAGGCUGGCAUCCAUGGAGAGGUGGAGGGAACCGUGGGGUGUUCAGUGGGGUGCAGCUGUCACAGCCCUUGCUGGUAGCUGGACGCAGCAGAGCUCUGUGCUCUUCUCUGGCACUGCAGGGGGAUGUCUCCUACUCCCCGCAGGCCGAGGUAUUUCUGCCUCAUCAGGGGUGGGGCUGUGGAGUGGUGUCCAGCGGAGUGGCCACAGGCAGCGGGGCAGAGGAUCCCUGGCGGGACAGCAGGUGGGCAGCUGAAGUGACAGGGCCUGAUGGACAGGACUGAAAUGAUAUGGGUGACCCAUGGAUGAUUUGUUUUCCAUUGCUGUGUGCAUUGCUUGGUCUGUAACUUUCCACGUAGCUGUCAUUAAUAAAGCUGUGCUGUACUAUUGCUAAUACAUAGAUGCAUGAGUGUUUCAUUAUAAGUAGAAUUGCGCUGUGUGAAAGAGAGAGGAGCUGGACAGGAAUGUUGAGUUUCUACCGCCCCUGAGCUUAAAGAUAAGAAAUAUCUGGCUGCUUCCUCCUCUCCUCUCCUGGCACCUUGGCCAUGUUCAGGGGAGUGUGUGGGGGGAGUAAACAGCUGGGGCCAGCCUCCACUUUUUGGGGCAAUGUAAUUUGUUUGUUCAAUGGUAUAAAGGCUAAGCCCCUCACAGAGAGGGUUUGGAGAACUCAGUCGGAGGUGGACACACUAAGUGGGUUUCCCAAUUGCCUUUUUCUGAAUCCUCACUGCAAAAAAGAAAGGGGUCCCCCGCAACUGCAGAUCUGGAUGAUGUUAAAGCAGUUGGUGAUGUAUUUCUCUUAAUCACUGCACUUAUUCUCUUAUGGUAAUGAUUGGACAUGUUGCCU